rfam:TPA: Bos taurus chromosome 13, whole genome shotgun sequence.
UCCCUGAUAGCACAGUUGGUAAAGAAUCUGCCUGCAAUGCAGGAGGCCCAGGUUCAAUUCCUGGGUUGCGAA